AUCUGGCCCUAGGCCCGAGUUGUAAUUUGCAGAGGAUGCUUUUGGUGCGGUGCCUUCCAAGUUCCCUAGAACGGGACGCCAGAGAGGGUGAGAGCCCCGUACAGUUGGACACCAAGCCUUUGUAAAGCUCCUUCGACGAGUCGAGUAGUUUGGGAAUGCUGCUCAAAAUGGGAGGUAUAUUUCUUCUAAAGCUAAAUACCGGCCAGAGACCGAUAGCGCACAAGUAGAGUGAUCGAAAGAUGAAAAGCACUUUGAAAAGAGGGUUAAACAGCACGUGAAAUUGUUAAAAGGGAAGCGCUUGUGACCAGACUUGCGUCCGGUGAAUCACCCAGCUCUCGCGGCUGGGGCACUUCGCCGGCUCAGGCCAGCAUCAGCUCGCUGUCGGGGACAAAAGCUUCAGGAACGUAGCUCUCUUCGGGGAGUGUUAUAGCCUGUUGCAUAAUACCCUUCGGCGGGCUGAGGUACGCGCUCCGCAAGGAUGCUGGCAUAAUGGUCAUCAGCGACCCGUCUUGAAACACGGACCAAGGAGUCAACCUUAUGUGCGAGUGUUCGGGUGUCAAACCCCUACGCGUAAUGAAAGUGAACGCAGGUGAGAGCUUCGGCGCAUCAUCGACCGAUCCUGAUGUUCUCGGAUGGAUUUGAGUAAGAGCAUAUAGGGUUGGACCCGAAAGAAGGUGAACUAUGCGUGUAUAGGGUGAAGCCAGAGGAAACUCUGGUGGAGGCUCGCAGCGGUUCUGACGUGCAAAUCGAUCGUCAAAUAUGCGCAUGGGGGCGAAAGACUAAUCGAACCUUCUAGUAGCUGGUUUCCGCCGAAGUUUCCCUCAGGAUAGCAGUGUUGAACUCAGUUUUAUGAGGUAAAGCGAAUGAUUAGGGACUCGGGGGCGCUAUAUUGCCUUCAUCCAUUCUCAAACUUUAAAUAUGUAAGAAGCCCUUGUUACUUAAUUGAACGUGGGCAUUCGAAUGUAUCAACACUAGUGGGCCAUUUUUGGUAAGCAGAACUGGCGAUGCGGGAUGAACCGAACGCGAGGUUAAGGUGCCAGAGUAGACGCUCAUCAGACACCACAAAAGGUGUUAGUACAUCUUGACAGCAGGACGGUGGCCAUGGAAGUCGGAAUCCGCUAAGGACUGUGUAACAACUCACCUGCCGAAUGUACUAGCCCUGAAAAUGGAUGGCGCUCAAGCGUCUCACCCAUACCUCGCCCUCAGUGUAGAAACGAUGCGCUGAGGAGUAGGCGGACGUGGAGGU
rnacentral:rRNA from 1 species